UGGAGCUUUAAACAGCUCUGGAUAAGCAAACAAAAUAAGAGUCUGGUGCUGAAAAGCUGAGUGUGUGACCCUGCUCGACU
rfam:Vicugna pacos cont1.192867, whole genome shotgun sequence.